UACGUAGGGUGCGAGCGUUAAUCGGAAUUACUGGGCGUAAAGCGUGCGCAGGCGGUUCGUUAAGUCAGAUGUGAAAGCCCCGGGCUCAACCUGGGAACUGCAUUUGAAACUGGCGGGCUUGAGUGUGGCAGAGGGGGGUGGAAUUCCGCGUGUAGCAGUGAAAUGCGUAGAGAUGCGGAGGAACACCGAUGGCGAAGGCAGCCCACUGGGCCAAAACUGACGCUCAGGCACGAAAGCGUGGGGAGCAAACAGG
rnacentral:rRNA from 1 species